AUCCCGUGGUGAGGACACGCAAGAAUGUGCUCUUGGAGUCUCUCCCAUGCUUCAGAUAUUGAUUCAUUUGACGCCUGCUGAAAUCCAGAAAUUCUCCCACAAAGGGC